rnacentral:lncRNA from 1 species
AGUUACUGCCACCCUCUCCCAGGUCUAGAGAGGGGUACCCACGGUGGAGGGAGGUGGGAGGCCGAGACGGCCCCGGGGGUCGGCGGAGACCCAGCGGGAGCAGGGGGAAAUCGGAAGAGCUGGGGGCAUGGAGCGGGCGAGUUUGGAGCGGAAUGAGCCGGGAGCCCUACGUUGUGGAAGGAAGACAACAGUAUAGGACCAUCAGCAGGACCGGACAGAGAGGGGCACACCAGGCUGGCCUUGAACUCAGAAAUCCGCCUGCCUCUGACUCCCGAGUGCUGAGAUUAAAGGUGUGCACCACCACACCCGACAAGGAAGCCUGUUUUAAGAAGUGAUUCCAUGGAGGAGUUCUGCGGCGGCUCAGGGCUUGACUAAACAGUGGACCUCAGUAGACAAGAGAGGCUAAACCAGGCUGCAGGUGACAGGAAGAAUUGAAUAAACUGAAAGCAAAGGGCAGCCUUCUAAUUACGCUUCGUGGCUAUGUGGACAACCUGGAGAAGUCUGGAAACAAGCCAGAAGCCCGAAGCCAGCAGUAGAGCUCUGACUGGCUUGUAUGCCUAGAAAGGAAGGGCUCUUCUUUCGCCUCACGGGCACAAAUGGGACCCACGAGCGCCGAUUUCAGACUAUUCUGAUCCCUUCAAAAAGAAAGUUAGGAGUCCAGGCUACUGUGAGUGAAUUUGAUUCUAAUUGUUUCAGAGAAUAUGGAAUAAAAUAUCUCAUUUGCAGUUGUUUA